GGUAACUUAGCGAUAAGAAAAUAGACUAUUGGUUAAAUAAAUUUAAAUUUAAGUGUGUUUUAGAAGAAGAGGAACUUUCAGUAUAUUCCUUAAGAUGAGCUGAGCAGCAGUCCAGUUUACAAGAUGACAAGAGUUCGAGAGACAAGAUACAAGAUCACUGAAACAAGAGCCAAGACUGAAGAUUCAAGAGAAGAGAAAGCUGGCAGCCAUGGACUUACAAGUGGAGAUUAAUAAGGUCAUGUAAAGUUUUAUUUUUUUUAUGGAAGACAGUAACUGGAGUUUUUUUUUGUUAUAAACAUUAUUUACAGAACUUUUUAGGUUAUAGUAAUGUAAUGGAACUAGUGAGUUGUGGUAGCUGUCAAAAAGAACUAAUACCUUAAGUUUAAUUUUUAAAGUUAAUUUUCUUAAUUUACAGAGGGAUUAGUAGUUUUUUUUAAAACCUUAUUUAGGUUGGAAUUUAAAUACAAUAGCUUAUUAUAAAUGUGUACGAACAGUUCAAGUUCACAGUACUGAUAGGUAGGUCAGAUGAUCUUAUUGAUUUUGAUGAUUUGUUGUUUUGAGUUGAUUUUUAAGUGUUGUGAAUUAGACAAUGAAAUAGUUCUGAAAACUUAAAUUAUUUCAAGCUAAGAAAUAGUAAAGUUAAUUGUAACUCAAAGGACACCAGAAUUUAAUUUUUUUUUGAAUUAGUAAUGUUUGAAAAUUUUAUACUUUACAAGAAAGGUUAUAAACAAACAGAUCGGAUGGAACAAGGAUGCAGUAAAUCACAAUUUCAUUUAGAAUUAUUGAUUAGCUUUUGAGGUUAUGAAGUAAAAGUAAUUAUAAUUUAAAAGUUUGAAUAAAAAAAUGUUUUUUUUUAUUUGUUUGAAAUAGAAAGUUUAAAAGUUAAUUAGUCAUGAUCUAGGUGGGUGAUGGGGUGGGAAUUGGCCACUCUUUUUCCCUAUAACCUCCCUAACAUGGCCUUCUAUUACAUCUAACAGAAAAAAAAAAGAAGAAAAAGAAGACUUAUUAUUAGUUAGAAUGUUUUUUUAUGAAGAUACCUGAUGAACUUUUUUUUUAUUGUUGGGAAGAAUAGUAGCAAGAUUAAUCAGAUGUUUUACUCAGAAGAAGAAGAAGAAGAAGAUAAAGCAGUUUUAUGACUCGACAAGCCAGAGAUUGGUGUUUCCCCUCUGCGCUCCUAUUGACUACGUUGUUUACUCUCAUGGGAUAGCUGGUUCGGCACCAUGGAGAGAGAUUGGUGGGCAUUGUGGUUGCCCCCAGAAGAAAAGAAGAGUAGAAGAGGUUAUGGGUGGGUCAUGUGAACUGACCUUCAACCCAGUUACUUCGUGGGGACUAUUUGCUGUAUAGAGAAGAUCAAGACUCAAGAGUUAGGGAAAAUCAUUGGAGGUCAUGUUUCCCUUCCUUAAGUUUUUCCUAUCAAAUUAUUUGCCUGAUUAGAUUAUGCUAAGGGUGGGAUACUUUAUGUUAGCAGUUGAAUUAAUUAAUUUUAUUUUUUUGUGUGUUUGCAUCCUUGCCCAUCGAUUGCAGUUUAGUAGUUAGUUUUGUAUUUGUCAGGCGUGAUGGUAAUGCCUGUUGAUGAUGUUUCAGAAUUGUAAUCUGUUCGUGAUGAGGAUGGCACAACUCCGAAGCAGAUGUGGGGAGAAGUUGUGAGCUGCCCUGGAAGCCAGUCCAGUAGCUGUUGGAGUUGAGUGGUGUUUGCUGAUGGCCAGCCCAGGGAGCUACUCUUCUCGACAACACUGACUUCGAGGAGUUGCACCAACCUUCACGAGAUAAGAGUUUAAUUAAUUGAAACACUGUAAGGACACUUAAUUUUUUUUGAAGAACGAAAGAAGUAUGGUAAUAAACGGAAACAAAAAAAAAAAAA